rnacentral:rRNA from 1 species
CGAAGGGGCUAGCGUUGUUCGGAAUUACUGGGCGUAAAGCGCGCGUAGGCGGCUUUGUCAGUCAGGGGUGAAAUCCCGGGGCUUAACCUCGGAACUGCCCUUGAUACUGCAAGGCUUGAGUCUGUGAGAGGAUGGUGGAAUACCCAGUGUAGAGGUGAAAUUCGUAGAUAUUGGGUGGAACACCAGUGGCGAAGGCGGCCAUCUGGCACAGUACUGACGCUGAGGUGCGAAAGCGUGGGGAGCAAACAGGAUU